rnacentral:pre_miRNA from 14 species
CUGGCUGUUCCUUUUUCCUAUGCAUAUACUUCUUUGUGGAUCUGGUCUAAAGAGGUAUAGCGCAUGGGAAAAUGGAGCAGUGAGAUC